rnacentral:rRNA from 1 species
CCUACGGGUGGCUGCAGUGGGGAAUAUUGGGCAAUGGACGCAAGUCUGACCCAGCAACGCCGCGUGAAGGAAGAAGGCUUUCGGGGUGUAAACUUCUUUUAAGGGGGAAGAGCAGAAGACGGUACAUCUUGAAUAAGCCACGGCUAACUACGUGCCAGCAGCCGCGUUAAUACGUAGGUGGCAAGCGUUGUCCGGAUUUACUGGGUGUAAAGGGCGUGCAGCCGGAGAGGCAAGUCAGAUGUGAAAUCAGCGGGCUCAACUCGCGAACUGCAUUUGAAACUGCUUGCCUUGAGUAUCGGAGAGGUAAUCGGAAUUCCUAGUGUAGCGGUGAAAUGCGUAGAUAUUAGGAAGAACACCAGUGGCGAAGGCGGAUUACUGGACGACAACUGACGGUGAGGCGCGAAAGCGUGGGGAGCAAACAGGAUUAGAUACCCGUGUAGUC